rnacentral:rRNA from 1 species
AUUGAACGCUGGCGGCGUGCUUAACACAUGCAAGUCGAUCGGUAACGCGGGGGCAACCCUGGCGACGAGAGGCGGACGGGUGAGGAACGCUUGGGAAUCUGCCCUUCAGCGGGGGACAACACGGGGAAACUCGUGCUAAUACCGCAUACGCUCCACGGAGGAAAGCCGGGGACCGCAAGGCCUGGCACUGAAGGAUGAGCCCAAGUCGGAUUAGCUAGUUGGCGGGGUAACGGCCCACCAAGGCGACGAUCCGUAGCUGGUCUGAGAGGACGAUCAGCCACACUGGGACUGAGACACGGCCCAGACUCCUACGGGAGGCAGCAGUGGGGAAUAUUGGACAAUGGGGGAAACCCUGAUCCAGCGACGCCGCGUGGGUGAAGAAGGCCUGCGGGUUGUAAAGCCCUUUCGGUAGGGACGAAAGCUCUCGACCUAAUACGUCGGGAGGUUGACUUAACCUACAGAAGAAGCACCGGCUAACUUUGUGCCAGCCGCCGCAGUAACAC